UAAGACGAACCGCACAAACGUUAUUCGGAAUCACUGGGCUUAAAGGGUGCGUAGGCGGUGCGGAAAGUUGGGUGUGAAAUCCCUCGGCUCAACCGAGGAACUGCGCCCAAAACUACCGUGCUUGAGGGAGAUAGAGGUGAGUGGAACUUAGGGUGGAGCGGUGAAAUGCGUUGAUAUCCUAAGGAACACCAGUGGCGAAAGCGACUCACUGGAUCUCUUCUGACGCUGAGGCACGAAAGCUAGGGGAGCAAACGGGAUUAGAUACCCCGGUAGUCCUAGCUGUAAACGAUGAGCACUAGGUUGGAGAGUCUUCCAUAACUUUCCAGCCGUAGCGAAAGUGUUAAGUGCUCCGCCUGGGGAGUAUGGUCGCAAGGCUG
rnacentral:rRNA from 1 species